GGGAAACCUUGAUGCAACCAUGCCGCGUGUAUGAAGAAGGCCUUCGGGUUGUAAAGUACUUUCAUUUGUGAGGAAGGCGUUGUAGUUAAUAGCUUAAGCGUUUGACGUUACCAACAGAAGAAGCCCCGGCUAACUCCGUGCCAGCAGCCGCGGUAAUACGGAGGGUGCGAGCGUUAAUCGGAAUUACUGGGCGUAAAGGGCAAGCAGGCGGUCUGUUAAUCAAGAUGUGAAAGCCCGGGGCUCAACCUCGGAACAGCAUUUUGAAAUGGCAGACUAGAUUCUUGUGUAGGGGGGUAGAAUUUCAGGUGUAGCGGUGAAAUGCGUAGAGAUCUGAAGGAAUACCGGUGGCGAAGGCGCCCCCCUGGACAAAGACUGACGCUCAAAUGGGAAAGCGUGGGGAGCAAACAGGAUUAGAUACCCUGGUAAUCCACGCCGUAAACGAUGUCUACUUGAAGGUUGUGGCCUUGACCCGUGGCUUUCCGACCUNACGCGUUAAGUAGACCGCCUGGGGAGUAC
rnacentral:rRNA from 1 species